AUGCGACGACAUCCAAGAAACGCUUGCGAAUGAGUGCUGGACCCUUCUCAGCCAGGUGUAUGUCAGGAAUAUCUCUGCCGGAAGUUCUUUGCUGAAGGUCACUGUGGACUUCUGCGCGGUUGACCUGUGCGCCAUGACGCUGAGCCAAGCCACCGAAGGAGGUGGACGCCUGGAAGGGCAUAAUGGCCGGCAUGCUGAAGGACACAGUCGGAGUCAUCGUCAACACCCUCGGCUCAAACUCUACGUCCACGUUAACGAACACUUCUAUUAGUGCUAUUAGGGACUAACGAUGGCGAAAACCCGACCGCCGACCUCAACAUCCGGAGAUCAUUCGCCAGACCUUUGAUACUUAAUCGGGACUAAUUUGCAUGUGGGUAAUUUCACCUUCAAAUUUAAACAUUAAUGAUCCCUAAUUCUUUGAGUUUAACAAUUACAUUUGGUCAUUUGGCAGUUUUGUGGAAAGGGGUAUUAGCACUAUCUUAUACUGGCAAGAGCUUAAAAAAUAACAGUAAUUACUGAUUGAUUCAUAUUAACAGUGUGACUAUAAUUCGGAACAUAUAUAUAAUAUUUUAAGAAAUACUUUUCAGAGUGUAUUUUUGUUCAGUAAGCAAAAUUGUUAUGUUGAAUAUUUAAUGUUUCCUUUAUUGUCUUAUUAUGCCCAUUAAAUUCUUUGUUUAAGAUCUUUGAUACUGAUUGAGAGAGAUAUGAAGUUUCCCUUCCCGUGUGCAUUUGUGAGAACUAAAAAUACAGUUAUCAAAUUCG